UACGAAGGGGGGCUAGCGUUGCUCGGAAUCACUGGGCGUAAAGGGUGCGUAGGCGGACUUCUAAGUCAGGGGUGAAAGCCUGAGGCUCAACCUCAGAACUGCCUUUGAUACUGGAAGUCUUGAGACCGGAAGAGGUAAGUGGAACUGCGAGUGUAGAGGUGAAAUUCGUAGAUAUUCGCAAGAACACCAGUGGCGAAGGCGGCUUACUGGUCCGGUUCUGACGCUGAGGCACGAAAGCGUGGGGAGCAAACAGG
rnacentral:rRNA from 1 species